rnacentral:rRNA from 1 species
UACGGAGGGGGCUAGCGUUGCUCGGAAUCACUGGGCGUAAAGGGUGCGUAGGCGGGUCUUUUAAGUCAGGGGUGAAAUCCUGGAGCUCAACUCCAGAACUGCCUUUGAUACUGAGGAUCUUGAGUUCGGGAGAGGUGAGUGGAACUGCGAGUGUAGAGGUGAAAUUCGUAGAUAUUCGCAAGAACACCAGUGGCGAAGGCGGCUCACUGGCCCGAUACUGACGCUGAGGCACGAAAGCGUGGGGAGCAAACAGG